GCCAAGGCCUCUGCUGUGAGGCCUCCACCAAGGCCUGCUGUGGCCACAGACACCCCCAGAUGCACAUCCGAGGUGGGCCUCAACAGGGGCCCCAUAGUGAAUACGGAGGCCCUGGCCCAGUCACCACCACAGAUAAAGAGGUAAAGCAUGUGGUGGGCAGAGGUUGGGCCCCCACAGUGAAAAUUUUGUGGGUGACCAGGCCCCCAGCACCCCUUGGAAUUAGUGCCAUUGGGUUUGGACAUAAGUCCCAACUGAUUUCAGCAUAGUAAGCUGUAUUAUACUGAGAAAGACCAUUGGUACAUCUAGCUCAGUAUUUGUCUACUCUGACUGGAAGCAGCUCUGCAGAGUUUCAGCCAGGAGUAUCUCCCCUGGGGUGUAAGGGAUUCAAGAAGGCAUCUUUUUCUGUCCCACCCUGUAUUUGUCACACACAGCACUGGUCCCAUUCCACUGAAGUUCGCCUUCCACAAAACAAUGUCAUUUCUCUCACUGUCCACAGAGGCACACUUUUGUAAGUUUUGUAAUUAAUUACUUAAAUUACCAUUGUUAUGACAUAAUUCUACCCCAUUCAUUUCAAUGGAAACAAUAUGCAAAUAAGGAGGAAAAACAUAAUUACAUAUCAUUUGUGGAUCCACUGGAUCCUGAGUAGUCUCAUUGCUGUUAUAUGACGUAGUCAUUGGCCCAACUAUGGGUCUGAUUGUCCUGUCCCCUGAGCCCCCAAUCAUGGCAUUUAUGAGCAGAAGGGCAUCAGAUCCAGCAGUAGCCUUACCAUUCUACAAAGUCCCACUGAGUGGGGUAGUAGUUUGGAUUAUUUUAUUAUUUUAUUUAUUUCUUUAAAAGCAAAAAGACAUCAUUUUUUAAAAUGAACAGUUGCUAGGGGCAUGGUAGGCAGCCUCCACCCCUUCCCACACUUAUAGGAAAAUCCAGCCAAGGAUGACCUAGGUUUUUCACAAAGUGCAGGCACCUGAGGAGCUAAAGGAAAUGGAGUGACAAUGUGUUGAAUGAGAGCAACAGCAUUCACAAAAACCACCGACCACCUCCAAGGCAAUGUAAGCACAAUAAUAACAACCAACAUCCCACCCUAGAGAAUUUCACCUUUUCCUCUCUCUCCUUCAAUAGUUUUCAAAUGCAAAUUCUUUUCACAUUAUUGAUGGAGAAUAGCUGGGUGUAGGGUGGGGGAGAGAACGUUCUCUUAGUCCUUGGAGUCAUAUGCAGCAUCCUUUAAAUAAUUUUACUGGAAUCAGGAAACCAAAACAUUGCUUUUUAAGCUUACGUGAUAGGAUUUGAGCAACGGUUUCUAAGCAAUUACGGUACUUAUCAUAUUUUUACCAGUUGGAAUUCCAAGUGUGAAUGCACUGGUUUUUAUAGUAAUUUUGCUCAUGGUUGUAAAAUCUUCAAAGUCAGCUCUGAUAUUCCUGUUAUGUUUUCAUAUAUUGUAAAGGCUAUAGAUAUAGAUAUUCCUCUGUUUCUCCCUCACUUGGCACAGAUGGCUUCAUUAUGUAGACAAACAAAGCAAAUAAUCUAUAAAAAGAGAUUGUCUAUAGCAAUAAGUUGGUUUCUUCUAAAUUUUGAUCCUCUUGUUUCCGUAAACAAAAUUGCUUACCACAUUUGUUCAAACCUCCUCCAUUUUGCAAUGGAGGCUUCAGAGUGGUAGCAUAAAUUUCCGAUAGCCUGGAUUGUGAUGCAGUUUACUCUGUUACCUGAUCGUGGAAUAUAAUGGUUAACGAUUAGUUGCCAUUUGUUGUCUUCUUGUAAUUCCCACUCUAGGUAGCAGGUGAAAUGUACCACAAACAGCAUAUUUACAAAUAUUCCAACAGGCAAAUUGUUUUUAUUAAAGAUGUUUGGGUUACAAAAAUUGUCUCUGUUUUCAUAUCAUAAAGGCCUUUGUACAGAUCAGUUAUAUUUGAUGUGAGGCAUUACUGUUGCAUACAGCAUAAGAUUGAGGGAGAAGAGAGGUGGGGAGAGAAAGCGAGGGGAGAGAGGGAGGUAGUAAAUUUUCAUUCUCUUACACAGUGUAUGUGCAAGGUUUUUGAGUCAGCAUCAGGUGGGUAGGUUCUCUUUCUAUUCAUUUAUUAGUUUUCCUUGGCAGUGAAAGAGGUUGUGGGGUCCAGGGUCUGGUUGGUUACUUUCAGUUGACUGCAGUGAGUUUUGUUUGUGUGAGUGAUGGGGAGGGGUUGUCGGGUCAAGUUAGCCUUAUUGAUUCAUAUGCUGUCGGUGUGUUCGUAUUGUUGCCUUAUUGAGCCAUACCAGGGUAAAGGCAUCCUCUUUUAUUGGUUCCCGUGCUAGUUCAGUUUGUUUGUUGGUUAGCUUUCCUAGUAGGGCUAUUUCCCAGUUUGGCACCAGUGGUCCAUGUUCACUCCUGGCACAGUGUCUAGCUAUGAUGUUCCUGGCUGCUGAGAGUAGGUGGCUUAUGACCUCUUUGUAGUGUGAGUGUGUGUUUUAGUCUUGGAAAAUAUUCAAUAAGGCCAGUUCUUGGGUGGCUUCUAAGACCUGUAUAGUUACUUUGCAUAUUUCUUGUAGGAAUGAUGUCCCAAAGGGUUGGAUUUUGGGACAGUCCCAUCACAUGUGGAAGUAUGUGCCUGUAGAGGUGCAACCUCUCCUGCAUUUUGGCAAGGUUCCUGGAUGUAUCAUUGCCAGUUACCAUGGUGUUAGGUACCAUUAGAGAUAGGUUUCAAGGUGAGUUCUCUUCUUUUGGUUGAGAUGGGUUUAAAGGGUGGUUUUGACCACAGUUUAGUCCAUUGGUUUAUUUUGUAACCUGUCCCAUGCUCCCAUUGUCUUUUUGAUUGAGAUGAAGGGGUUUGUGGGAUUUGUGGGAUCUGAAAUAGAAUUUUGUAUAUUGGGAUACUAUCCCCUUGCCAUGUCCCAUUGCUGUCAGGAGAAGGUUUUUGAAGGUGGUCAAGGGCCUACUGGCUGCUGCUUUUACUCUUUUACUGCUGGGGUGUUUAAGAAGGUGUGUAAUUGGUGGUGUGUUAGCCAGGGUGUUUGGGUGUCCCCUAGUUUGCCUUGUAUUUCUUGUGUCAGUAUGGUUUUGUUAUAUUUGUAGAAAUCUGCUAGGUGGUGUAAGCCUUUGGCUUGCCAACUUUUUAUUUGGAAGUUUUGGGCUACGUGAUGGAAUAGUGGAUGGUGGGCCAGGGGGGUUAAUGGGGAUGCAGUUGGGGACAGUUUUCCUACUUUUUCCUUCUAUGCUUUAAGCAUGGGCUGUGUGAAGCUGUUUAGUGUUGUGGGGAUUUUCCUUAGUUUGUUUUGAUGGAAUGGGUAUGCUGUGGCAGGGAUGUUCUUUUUUAACCAGGCCUUUGGUUGAUUUGAUUGACUUCCUAUGCCCUUUUAAAAUGUGGGGUUUUUUGUUGUGGUGUGUUUGUGUUGCUGUUACUUUUAUUUGAAUUAUGUAUUUUGUGGCUUUAUAUUUUCAUUUUAUUCUGUGAACCGCUCUGAGACCUGUGGGUAUAGGGCGGUAUAUAAAUCAAAAAUUCAAUCAAUCAAUCAAUAAAUUUUAGGUUUUUUCUGCCUUUCAUGGAGGGUGAAAUGAAUUUGUUCCAUUUCUUCAAGUCUUUGUUAAUUUCUUGCCAAAGGAGGUUGUAGUUGUGGAAGUAUAGUUUGUUGAGGUUUCUGGUUAUUUGUGCCCCUAUCUGAAUUUGGUGCAGCAAAGUUUUAUCUUCGUGAUGUUGGGAAAUACUUUUUGAAUAUGGGGGGGGGGGCGUGUUGUUGAAACACAUAGUCUCAGAUUUCACAAAGAUUCACCUCUAGGUCCAACACCAUUGCGAAUGUAUUGAGUUAUUUGGUUAGGGCAGUGGUUUUCAACCAGUUUCCUGUGGCACCCUGGGGUGCCUCGAAUGAUGAUCAGGGGUACCACAGGCAACACUGGCCCCUGUCCUUUUUUCCUUCCCUCCCUUCUCUGAUUCCCUCUCAUGUCUCUGCCUCCCAAAGGCUUGUGCAGCUGUUUAUUGCAGCAGCCCUGGCUAUAAGCUUUGCAGGUGAAUGGUGCCUCUGGGAGGCACCUCUCUUUGGGACGGUGCAGCUCAGAGACCAGGGGCAGCAGCAGCAGCUGCCUGGAGGACUCCCAAGGAGAGGGGAGAGGAGAGGAGACUGAGGCAACAAUCCACAAGGGAGGGUGUUCAAAAAAGAAUGAGAGGCUGCCAAUUCUGCAAGCAAGGGGGACAUAACUGGGCUCCUGAGCCCCACAGGGGUGCUACAGAAAGAAUGUACUUGGUUAAGGGAGCCAUGGACUCAAAAAGUUUGAAAACCUCUGAGUUAGAGUGAUUGCUGUCUUUAUGGAGUCUGGUGUUGUGACCAUCUGGUCAUCUGCGAGGAGCCCUAGUUUAUAGGUUUUGUCUUUGACUGAUAGUUAAGGUUUUUUGCUUUGUUUUUCUGCCCAAGCAGAUAUUGUUGGACUCAUCUCCUAUCAGCCCCAGCCAUAAUGGCAAAUUUCAGCUUCCCUUUGAUUCAAGAAAUCUGCCACUGAUGGGUGACUAUCCAGCCUCUUCAGAACUUCUCAAAGUAUAAUAUGUCCCAG